rnacentral:rRNA from 1 species
GUAAUCACUUGUCUUCUAAAUAAAGACCUGUAUGAAUGGCUAAAUGAGGACAAGCCUGUCUCUUACAACCAAUCAGUGAAACUGAUCUACCAGUACAAAAGCUGGCAUAAACACAUAAGACGAGAAGACCCUGUGGAGCUUUAAACAAACCACUACCCUAACCCCUAGCCCUAGUGCAAUGUUUUAAGUUGGGGCGACUUCGGAACAAAACAAAACUUCCGAGCAGAGAUCCACCACUCCCACCAAGGCCCACAAGCCAAAGUACAAAACUGACCCGGCCGCUGCCGAUUAACGAACCAAGUUACCCCAGGGAUAACAGCGCUAUCUUCUUCAAGAGUCCAUAUCGACAAGAAGGUUUACGACCUCGAUGUUGGAUCAGGACACCCAAGUGGUGCAGCCGCUACUAAAGGUUCGUUUGUUCAACGAUUAACAGU